rnacentral:rRNA from 1 species
CUACGGGUCGCACCAGUGAGGAAUAUUGGACAAUGGUCGAAAGACUGAUCCAGCCAUGCCGCGUGCAGGAUGAAUGCCCUAUGGGUUGUAAACUGCUUUUAUACGGGAAGAACACCACCCACGUGUGGGUGACUGACGGUACCGUAAGAAUAAGGACCGGCUAACUCCGUGCCAGCAGCCGCGGUAAUACGGAGGGUCCAAGCGUUAUCCGGAAUCAUUGGGUUUAAAGGGUCCGUAGGCGGGCUAUUAAGUCAGAGGUGGAAGUUUGCAGCUCAACUGUAAAAUUGCCUUUGAUACUGGUAGUCUUGAGUUAUAGUGAAGUGGUUAGAAUAUGUGGUGUAGCGGUGAAAUGCAUAGAUAUCACAUAGAAUACCAAUUGCGAAGGCAGAUCACUAACUAUAUACUGACGCUGAUGGACGAAAGCGUGGGGAGCGAACGGGAUUAGAUACCCUCGUAGUC